CCUCAAACCAAGAAUGUCAUCCCCAGUGGGGUUUGAAGAAUUGGACUGGCAAUGUGAAUCCCCCUGGAGUUGCUCUGGUGACCACCUACUCCCGUUCUCUUUUACACCCUGACCAUAUGAUUACUAAUAACAUCUAGGUUGUAUAGCACUAGUUGUCUAUAAUAGUCUACAAAACACCCUUGCAUUUUAAAAGAAUCUUAUUUAAUUAUUUGAAGACUCUGGAAAGUAGAAAUGAUCAUUAUCUUCUCUUCAUAAAUGAGGAAGCUGGACAUUCAGCCGAGGUUCGGCAACUUUUCCUAGGUUAUAUGGCAGCUCAGAAAAAGUCACACGAAGACUCCGUUCUUCGGACUAUAGACCUGCAUUUAUUGAUCACAUUUCAUAGGCUGAAGGGAGGUGAAAACGUACUUUUUAACAUAUAUCUCACUUGAAGGACAUUUAACCCAAAUUCACAGAUAAAUAGAUAAAUCAAAGUAUUAUUCAUUUUACAAAAAGGAUUCACAACACAGUUUUUUAAACUAUCAGGAUCUCUGAUGUGGUUAAAAUCUGACCUAAUUUACAAGCCACCCUUCGAAUCACUUUAGGAGAGACAACUCCAGGGUGAAAGUUUGUAGGUGCACCCAAAGAGGGCUAAGAAUGGGGAGGGACCUUAUUUUUGUUUUCUUUAAUGGUGAAAACACCCCUGCCAGAUCUCAAAAUAACCUUUGGGUGGUGCCCUUUGACCAAUCCCCUUCUUGUGGGGGUGUGGUCUACAUUCAAGACAAAAAUUAUUUAAUUGCCUAAAGGCUGAGCACUUCAAUACUCCAGGGAGUUGUUUAUCUUGUUUUCGGGAUGAUGGGAAAAUUCAGAAAGGAUUUGAGCCUUUUCAUUGUUCCUCUUGCUAAUGCUACCUUUGAAUGCUGAUGAAAGAAAGCAUUUCAAUUGCUCUAGUUGGAUUGGAUCAGAGAAGACAUUUAAAAAAAUCAGGCGAAAUCAUUCUAUUAACAAGAUUAGUCCAGAGGUUGAUGACUAAAGAAAACAGAGAACACCUAAUAAGGAAAGCCCAGAAGAGCUUUCAUUUAGGAAUCCAGCUCGAACAUUAUUACCAAGAGACUUGUGAGAUGCAUGGCCACCCUGAAAGAAGAUGCUGGCUUUGCUCAAAGUGA
rnacentral:lncRNA from 12 species